rnacentral:lncRNA from 1 species
AAAAAACAUUUCAAUGAUUUAUGAGUUUUUACAGUAAUUAUUCAUGGUUUAGGUUGAUUUCCUGGAAUGCAUGUGACAUCCAUCUUGCUGAACUAGUAUACAUUUUUGUAAGAAGGGCUACUGAUGCCCUCCUCCAGUUGCAGUAUUUUCUCCCUGCCUUUAAGACCCAUUUGUGGCUGUGUUUUGUUCUUUGUUAUGUUGUAUGAUUGCCUACUUUUUACAAUCACAAGAGACCAAAAUCACACAGAAAUUAACAACUAUAGGUCACCGUACAACAUUCAAUAAUAAGCAAAGCCAAUGCAGUAGAGUCAGCUAUAAAAGACCUAACAAUGACAAAUGUAAAACAAUUCAAAUGAGACAAUAGCCAGAUUAAUGUACCAAAACAUUAACGAAAAAAAAUAUAUGUAUAAAACACAGCCACAAACCAUAUAAACCACUGAAUUUUGUCUCUUUGACACACUCCCUGUUUCCAUUCUCAUUUUUAUUAGAUUCUGUGAGGGUUUGCUUGUAAUUAAACAAUGUGUUGUUAAUUUGAAAUAAAAAAAUGAAAAUGAAAAGGGCCCUGAGAGAUCUGGGUUAUUUCUGCAGAUGCAAUAACAUUCGUAGCAACGAAGAUUCUUAUAUAAUGGGAAAAAGAAAAAAAAGGUAUGAUGUAUCAAUUCAUUACACAAGACAUGCCCAAACCAAAUGCUGAUAUCAACUGAUAUUCAUAUUAAUGCCCUUAAUAGUGUUCCAACUCCAA